GGAACUCCGAUCGCGACCGAUGACGCCC
rnacentral:piRNA from 1 species